rnacentral:tRNA from 2 species
GUCGGGAUAGCUCAGCUGGUAAAGCAGAGGACUGAAAAUC